rnacentral:rRNA from 1 species
UACGUAGGGUGCGAGCGUUGUCCGGAAUUAUUGGGCGUAAAGAGCUUGUAGGCGGUUUGUCGCGUCGUUGCUGUGAAAAUCCGGGGCUCAACCCGGACUUGCAGUGGGUACGGGCAGACUAGAGUGUGGUAGGGGAGACUGGAAUUCCUGGUGUAGCGGUGGAAUGCGCAGAGUAUCAGGAGGAACACCGAUGGCGAAGGCAGGUCUCCUGGGCCACUACUGACGCUGAGAAGCGAAAGCAUGGGGAGCGAACAGG